GGGGUGGAAUCAUGAUCAGAAAGAGGGCUCUCUGCCCUCUGCUUCCCCUUUUCGGAGGAUACAGGGCGACUGGCCCAAGUGGGCCAUCCGAUCGUCGGCUUUUGAAAUUUCGAUGAUGCUAUUUCCAGCUGCACAGAUGCCUGCGGCUACUGCUGCUGCUGCUGCAUGGCCUGCAUCACUUCGAUGAGGCCCCUGUCCUACUGAACAGUAGGUCAAACUGCUCCAUGCCGACUG
rnacentral:lncRNA from 1 species